GACGAACGCUGGCGGCGUGCUUAACACAUGCAAGUCGAACGGUGACCCAUCUUCGGAUGGUGAUCAGUGGCGAACGGGUGAGUAACACGUGGGCAACCUGCCCCUAGCUCUGGGAUAACUCCUCGAAAGAGGUGCUAAUACCGGAUAUCACCACCCUGGACAUCCAGGGUGGUUGAAAGUUUUUCGGCUAGGGAUGGGCCCGCGGCCUAUCAGCUUGUUGGUGGGGUAAUGGCCUACCAAGGCGACGACGGGUAGCCGGCCUGAGAGGGCGACCGGCCACAGUGGGACUGGGACACGGCCCAGACUCCUACGGGGGGCAGCAGUGGGGAAUAUUGCGCAAUGGGCGAAAGCCUGACGCAGCAACGCCGCGUGAGGGAUGACGGCCUUCGGGUUGUAAACCUCUUUCAGCAGGGACGAAGCGAAAGUGACUGUACCUGCAGAAGAAGCGCCGGCUAACUACGUGUCAGCAGCCGCCGUAA
rnacentral:rRNA from 1 species